GCCUUCGUGGUGUAGUGGUCAGCACGCCCGACGUGUAUUCGGGAGGUCCAGGGUUCGACUCCCGGAGAGGGCA